UUCUACGUCACCACACGGCGACCUGAGUUUGUAAACAUUCAGUUCGUGGGAAAAGCCAUGGACGAUCUUGUAAAGGUUCAUGGGGGCGGCGGUUAUGACUCUGACUUCAGUGAUGAAGAUGGACAGGGAGAGUCCUCAGAGAGAGGCCUUAAAAGGAAACGUGAGGAGGAAAUCUUACAGAAGCCGUUCCAGAAAGGUCGGCACUCCAAGGUGGCUCACCGCAGCUUGCACUCGAGUGAAGUGGACAGAGAAGAAGCACAGAACAGAAGAGCUCACCUGAUAUCGAUGAAUGCUUUCGAGCGGCACAAGAAGUUUGUCGGUGACUACAUACUGUACUAUGGAGGACAGAUGGCUGACUUCAAGCGCUCAGCAGGCAAGGACAAAACAGACCUAGAUGUGCUGCGUGAAAAUCAUCGCUUUCUCUGGAGGGAUGAGGACGAGGAGGACAUGACAUGGGAAAAAGAGUUGGCCAAGAAGUAUUAUGAUAAGCUGUUUAAAGAAUACUGCAUAGCCGACCUCAGCAGAUACAAGGAAAACAAGUUUGGAUUUCGAUGGCGGACAGAGAAGGAAGUUGUUUCUGGCAAAGGUCAGUUUCAGUGUGGAAACAAACGUUGUGAGAAGGAGGAAGGCCUAAAAAGCUGGGAGGUGAAUUUUGCUUACGUGGAGCAUGGGGAGAAGAGAAACGCACUGGUCAAACUGAGACUUUGCCCUGAAUGCUCUUUCAAACUCAACUACCAUCACAAGAGGAAGGAGGUGAAAGCAAAAACAAAGUCUAAAAUGCUGUCGGAGGAGAACCAGAAGCCACCGAAAGAAAAAACAAAGAAGAAAAAGAAAUCAUCUUCACAUUCUAAGAAGCACAAACACAAAAAACACAGAGAUGGCUCCACCUCUUCCAGUAGCUCAGAGGAGUUGCAAAACACGGAUAAAGGUAAUGUCAUGAUGUUCUGAUGCGCCUAGAUGCAGAUGCAGAGAUGCACAUGCCUCAACCUUUCUAGUGAAACUUGGUAUUUUGAGAUUAAGAAAGGUGACCUGCAUGAGCUGGGCAGAGCCAGGGAGAGAUGUGUCCCAACUUUUGACUGGUACUGUGUAUGUUUGAUGAAGGGCUGCUUUAACCCAAAUAGCUGCUUUCGUGCCAUACGAUUCCAUACUUUUUUUUUUUUCGAGCUGUUUGAAUCUGAGUUCAUGAUCUCCUUGGUCAGAGCUCUGAGCUGUGACUCUCCUCCAAACUUGUGGAGUGAGAACACCCUGACACUCCCAUAAGCCCUGUAGUUAAUGCUAUAGACCGACAGCAGGUCAGUUUUUUUUUUUUUUUCUCAGCAGGCUUUUUGUCUCCGUACUUCAUUACCUUUAUUUUUUGCUUUUCCUGGAAGCAGCGUGAAGUGAAGUAUGACUUUGCCCCCUUGUCCUGUUCUGUUUGUUCAACCAAGGUCUGGCUGGAUAAAUGGAUUGGUAGGUGGAGGUGUGCGCUCUGAGGUUAUGUCACUUAGUUCCGCAUGCAAGUCAAUACACAAAACUCUUUCCGCAUCACACACACAGCAAUUAUUGAAGGUGGGAGAUCAUUAAAUUCAGGACUCUGGUGUUUCGUGUAAUGUAUUAGCAAUGCUUUCAUGGAGGGGGUAGAAAUUUUAAUAUCAGGGAAGCACUUUGUGUCCUAGAAACUUCAUAUUGAUGCCAGGGAAAAUGAAUGGAAAAAUAUGCUGCUUUGGCCCAGUAUAGCAUCACAUAAUUAGUGGCUUAUGCUGAUAACAUAUUUAUCUACUACAACCUGCCAAAACUUGUCUCUGAAUAAAUUUGUGAAGAGAAAUAGGCCAUGAGCUUGUAGAAUAACUCCUAAUUCCUUUUUCGCAAGGUUUAGAGUUUGCUUCCUAAACAUUAGCCGGUUGACCAAAACUCAGUGACAAAUUAAAGGUACAGUCAGUUGUUUGUUUUUUUAAGAGGUUAUUUAAGAAAAAAAAUUGUACUCAUAAAUAUACAUUGAUUAGUGUGUAAUUAUGUCUGCCAACAAAUUGAUGCAUUCUCAUAAACUUAGAAUUAAUCCAUUUAAAAUACAUAGGAGUGGGCGGUGGUUUGUGGAAGCCGCCAUGUUGGGAUAGGCUGGAGCUUAUCCCAGCUGCCAUAGUGGGAGAGGAAAGGUACACCCCGGACAGGUUGCCAGUCUGUCGCAGGGCUAACGGGGGGGGGAGUGGAGAAUCAGUGCCAAGCACUGUGUCUGUGUAGAUUCAUCCAGAUCAAGGUUUCUUCUUUAAUUUGUCGCCUCUCUAACAGAGACUCUGAAGCUGGGGACGAGCCAGAGGACCAAUCAGAAGGCGACCACUGGCGAGGACCCGCCCCUGCAGUGGAGGAAAAGUCGAGGGAGGAGGAGUUUGAUGAGUACUUUGAAGACAUGUUUCUUUGAAUCCGCUGG